AUGGAAGAUAGAAUCGUGAACGAAGGUUAUGGGGAAAGAUGGAUACUUGUGGGACGAAUAAGCUUCUCAACUUCCGCUACAGAAAAAACUUCAGAUAACCUCCUCCUAAUAACAACGCUGACGUCUCAGAAAAUCGCCGUUGGCCUCAGAUUAAGAGAUGUAUCGUUGAAGUAUAUUAUUCGUGGGUUUUUAGAAGGAUCUAUGUUUGAACUGCUCCUGAAUUUUGUGAAAUUGAUUUAG